rnacentral:rRNA from 1 species
UAAGCAGCUCUCACCGAAGGAGGAGCCUGCGUCCGAUUAGCUAGUUGGUGGGGUAAUGGCCUACCAAGGCGACGAUCGGUAGCCGGCCUGAGAGGGCGAUCGGCCACACUGGAACUGAGACACGGUCCAGACUCCUACGGGAGGCAGCAGUGGGGAAUAUUGCGCAAUGGGCGAAAGCCUGACGCAGCGACGCCGCGUGGGUGAUGAAGGCCUUCGGGUCGUAAAGCCCUGUCUGGUGGAACGAAACGCCUGGCGGCCAAUACCCGCCGGGUUUGACGGUACCACCGAAGGAAGCCCCGGCUAACUACGUGCCAGCAGCGCGGUAAGACGUAGGGGGCGAGCGUUGUUCGGAUUUACUGGGGGUAAAGCGCGCGUAGGCGGCCAGAUAAGUCGGGUGUGAAAGCCCUCGGCUCAACCGAGGUUCCGCAUCCGAUACUGCUUGGCUGGAGUCUAGGAGAGGAGAGCGGAAUUCCCAGUGUAGCGGUGAAAUGCGUAGAUAUUGGGAGGAACACCCGUGGCGAAGGCGGCUCUCUGGACUAGUACUGACGCUGAGGCGCGAAAGCUAGGGGAGCGAACGGGAUUAGAUACCCCGGUAGUCCUAGCCGUAAACGAUGGGCACUAGGUGUGGGAGGUAUUGACUCCUUCCGCGCCGAAGCUAACGCAUUAAGUGCCCCGCCUGGGGAGUACGGCCGCAAGGCCAAAACUCAAAGGAAUUGACGGGGGCCCGCACAAGCGGUGGAGCAUGUGGUUCAAUUCGACGCAACGCGAAGAACCUUACCAGGGCUUGACAUCCCACGAACCUGCCUGAAAGGGCGGGGUGCCCGCAAGGGAGCGUGGAGACAGGUGGUGCAUGGCUGUCGUCAGCUCGUGUCGUGAGAUGUUGGGUUAAGUCCCGCAACGAGCGCAACCCUCACCCCUAGUUGCCACCGGGUAAUGCCGAGCACUCGAGGGGAACUGCCAGCGUCAAGCUGGAGGAAGGCGGGGAUGACGUCAAGUCAUCAUGCCCCUUACGUCCUGGGCUACACACGUGCUGCAAUGGCCGGUACAAAGGGAUGCGAGACCGCGAGGUGGAGCCAAUCCCAAAAAGCUGGUCUAAGUUCGGAUUGCAGUCUGCAACUCGACUGCAUGAAGUAGGAAUCGCUAGUAAUCGCGCAUCAGCACGGCGCGGUGAAUACGUUCCCGGGCCUUGUACACACCGCCCGUCACACCACGAAAGCUGGCUGUACUCGAAGUCGCUGAGCCAACCCGCAAGGGAGGCAGGCGCCGAAGGUAUGGUUAGUGAUUGGGGUG